rnacentral:rRNA from 1 species
UACGUAGGGGGCAAGCGUUGUCCGGAUUUAUUGGGCGUAAAGAGCGUGUAGGCGGUUUGGUAGGUCCGUUGUGAAAACUCGAGCUCAACCUCGAGACGCCGAUGGAAACCAUCAGACUAGAGUCCGGAAGAGGAGUGUGGAAUUCCCGGUGUAGCGGUGGAAUGCGCAGAUAUACGGGAGGAGCACCCGUGGCGGAAAGGCGGCACUCUGGGACGGUACUGGACGCUGAGACGCGAAAGCGUGGGGAGCAAACAGG